ensembl:lncRNA
UUUUAGCUUUUACAGUUAGGUCUAUGACCCAUUCCAAAAUAAGUUUUAUGCAUGUUGUGAGGAAAGUGUCAGGGUUCAUUUUUCCCCAUACAUUUAUUUGGUUGUUCCAGCACCAUCCACUGAAAAUAUUUUCCUUUCCCUAUUCAAUUAUAUUGGUACCAUUGUUGGAAGUCAAUUCAUGGUAACUUCCUGUGUAUAUUUCUGGGCCUUCUCUUCUCUUCCAUUUAUCUAUUUGUAUAUUGUUACAAUAUACAAAUACCACACUGCAUUGAUUACAUACUUUUCCAUAAGUGUUAAAAUAACAUAAAUUGUCCUAAUUGUUUUUCCUUUAUUUAAGUGAUAAAAAUUGUAUAUUUAUCAUUAACAACAUGAUGGGUGGAAACAUAUAUACAUUGUGGAAUGGCUAAAUCAAGUUAAUGUAUGUAUUACCUCACAUUAUUUUUAUGUGGUGAUAACACUUAAAAUAUGCACUCAGCAAUUUUCAAAAUAUAAUACAUUGCUAUUAACCAGAGUCACCAUGUUGUACAAUAGAUAUCUUGAACUUAUUCCUCCAAUGUAACUGAAGUUUUGCAUCAUGUGACCAACAACAACUCAACCUUCCACCUCUCAGUCCCUGGUAACCACCAUUCUACUCUUUGCUUCCAUGGGUUCAACUAUUCUAGAUUCUACAUAUAAUAUGUGGCAUUGACCUUUCUGUGCCUGGAUUAUUUCACUUAACAUGCCCUCCAGAUUCGUCCAUGUUAUUGCAAAUGGCAUGAUUUCCUUCUGUUUUUAAGGCUGAAUAGUAUUUAUUGCCUAUAUGUACACCACAAUUAUUUGUCCAUUCAUCUGGCAAUGAACACUUAGGUUGAUUUUGUAUUUCGGCUGUUCUGAAUAAUGCUGAAAUGAAUAUCAGAGGGCAGCUAUCUCUUCGAUAUUUCAUUUUCUUUGAAUAUAUACCCAGAAAUGGAAUUGCUGGAUCAUAAGAUGGUUCUAUAUUUAAUUUUUUGAGGAACUUCCAUACUGUUUUCCACAGUGGCUGUACUAAUUGACAUUCCCAUCGAGGGCAUACAAAAGUUCCUUUUUCUCCACAUCCCUGCUGACAAUUAUCUUCCAUCUUUUAAAAAAACAGCCACUCUAACAAGAGUGAGGUGAUGCUCAUUGUAGUUUUGAUUUGCAUUUCCCUGAUGCUUAGUGAUGUUGAGCAUUUUUCAUGUACCUGCUGGCCAUUUGUGUCUUCUUUUGGUGUCUUUUCAGGUAUAUUGUCCAUUUUCAAAUUGGAUUAUUUGUUUUCUUGCUAUUGAGUUCUUUAUACAUUUUGGAUAUUAACACCUUAUCACAUGUAUGGUUUACAAGUAUUUUCUCCCAUUCCAUAGGUUGUUUCUUCAUUCUGGUGAUGGUCUCCUUUGCAAUGCAGAAGCUUUUUGGCUUGAUAUAAUCCCAUUGUCUAUUUUUGCUUUUGUUGUCUGUGCUUUCCCGGCCAUAUCUAAAAACUCAUUGACUAAUGUCAUGAAGGUUUCCCCAUAUGUUUUCCCCUAGUACAUUUAAAAUUACUAAUUUUGUUUAAAUGAUUAAUCCAUUUUGAAUUAAUUUUUUAUACGGUGUGAGACAAUGGUCUAAUUUCAUUUUUCUGCAUGUGAAUAUUCAUUUUCCUAACACUGUUUAUUGAAGAGGCUGUCCAUUCACAAUUGUGUGUACUUGCCAUCUUUUUUAAAAACCAAUUGACUGCAAGUGUAUGUGACUUGAUGCUUUUCACUUGCUGUUUUUUAAUUUUUAAAUUUUUUUUCACUUGCUGUUUUUAGAAUUCUCUCUUUGCCUUUGAUUUUGACAGUUUGACUAUAACGUGUCUCAGAAGAGACCUUUUUGGAUUGAAUCUAUUUGGGGAAUUUUGAGCUUCUAGUAUCUGGAUGUCCAUGUCUCUCCCAAAGCUUGGGAAGUUUUCAGCUAUUACUUUAUUAAAUAGGUUUCUAUCCGUUUUUCCAUCUCUUAUCCUUCUAGAAUUUGCAUAAUGUGAAUACUUGUUCACUUGAUGGUGUUCCAUAUGUCUUGUAGGCUUUCUUCUUAUUUUUAAUUUUUUUUUCUGAAUGGGUCAUUUCAAAAGACCUGUCUUUAAGUUCAGAAAUUCUUCUGCUUGAUCUGGUCUAUUGUUGAGGAUCACACUGUAUUUUUUAUUUCAUUCACUGAAUUCCUCAGCUCCAAGAUUUCUGUUUGGUUCUUUUCUAUAUCUAUUUGUUGAAUUUCUCAUUCAAAUAAUAAAGUAUCUUCCUGAUUUCAUUGAAUUACAUGUGUUCUCUUAUAUCUCAUUGAGUUUCCUUAAGAUCACUAUUUUGAAUUCCUUUUCAGAUAUCUCAUAGCUUUCCUCUUUAUGGGGGAGUCUACUACUGAAGAAUUAUUGUGUUCCUUUGAAGGUAUCAUGUUUCCUUACUUUUUCAUGUUUCUUGUGUUUCCUGUGUUAAUAUCUGUACAUCUAGUGGAACAGUUAUCAUUUUUUCCAACUUUAUAAAAUAGGUUUCCUAGGGAAAUAAUUUUUUCUUGUAGAUGUGUCCUAUAGUGUCAGUUGGGUAGGCUGCUUUGGCUUUGGUUCUGGGUAGGUGCAAUAGUGCAGUCUCAGUAUGAUUUUUCUGCUGGAGCAGGCCUAGGCCCUGGGUCUACUGAAGCUUGGGACACAUGGAUGACCUGGAGCUUGGGCCAGUCUUGUGUAGGGGCAGGUCUCGAGCCUGGGAUUAUGGGUGCUGGCCUGAAGGCUAGACCCACAAAGGCUGGCCUGGCUACUGAUGCUACAGGGGCCAACCUGAAACCUAAGUUCAUAGGGAAGUUCUGGAGCCUGGGUCUGUGGGAACUGACCCAGCACUGGAAUUACUGGAACAGGCUUGAACCCUGAGGGUCAGUCUGGUGGUACAGAUGGUCCAGAGCCUGAGGCUGCUGAAG